rnacentral:rRNA from 1 species
UAGCUACAGGCUUAACACAUGCCCCUCGAGGGGAAACGAUAUUGGAAGCUUGCUUCCGAUAGGCGUCGACCGGCGCGCGGGUGAGUAACGCGUAUCCUUUCCUGCCCACCACUUGGGGAUAACCUUGCGAAAGUAAGACUAAUACCCAAUGAUAUCUCUAGAAGACAUCUGAAAGAGAUUAAAGAUUUAUCGGUGAUGGAUGGGGAUGCGUCUGAUUAUCUUGUUGGCGGGGUAACGGCCCACCAAGGCAACGAUCAGUAGGGGUUCUGAUAGGAAGGUCCCCCACAUUGGAACUGAGACCCGGUCCAAACUCCUACCGGAGGCAGCCAGUGACGAAUAUUGGUCAAUGGACGAGAGUCUGAACCAGCCAAGUAGCGGGCAGGAAGACGGCCCUAUGGGUUGUAAACUGCUUUUAUAAGGGAAUAAAGUGAGUCUCGUGAGACUUUUUGCAUGUACCUUAUGAAUAAGGACCGGCUAAUUCCGUGCCAGCAGCCGCGGUAAUACGGAAGGCCCGGGCGUUAUCCGGAUUUAUUGGGUUUAAAGGGAGCGUAGGCCGGAGAUUAAGCGUGUUGUGAAAUGUAGACGCUCAACGUCUGCACUGCAGCGCGAACUGGUUUCCUUGAGUACGCACAAAGUGGGCGGAAUUCGUGGUGUAGCGGUGAAAUGCUUAGAUAUCACGAAGAACUCCGAUUGCGAAGGCAGCUCACUGGAGCGCAACUGACGCUGAAGCUCGAAAGUGCGGGUAUCGAACAGGAUUAGAUACCCUGGUAGUCCGCACGGUAAACGAUGGAUGCCCGCUGUUGGUCUGAAUAGGUCAGCGGCCAAGCGAAAGCAUUAAGCAUCCCACCUGGGGAGUACGCCGGCAACGGUGAAACUCAAAGGAAUUGACGGGGGCCCGCACAAGCGGAGGAACAUGUGGUUUAAUUCGAUGAUACGCGAGGAACCUUACCCGGGCUUGAGUUGCAGAGGAAGGAUUUGGAGACAAUGACGCCCUUCGGGGCCUCUGUGAAGGUGCUGCAUGGUUGUCGUCAGCUCGUGCCGUGAGGUGUCGGCUUAAGUGCCAUAACGAGCGCAACCCCUCUCCUUAGUUGCCAUCAGGUCAAGCUGGGCACUCUGGGGACACUGCCUCCGUAAGGUGUG